rnacentral:rRNA from 1 species
AUACGGAGGAUCCGAGCGUUAUCCGGAUUUAUUGGGUUUAAAGGGUGCGUAGGCUGUGCCGCAAGUCAGGGGUGAAAGCCCGGCGCUUAACGCCGGAACUGCCUUUGAUACUGCGGUGCUGGAGUUCGGAUGCCGUGGGAGGAAUGGGCAGUGUAGCGGUGAAAUGCUUAGAUAUUGCCCAGAACACCGAUUGCGAAGGCAUCUCACGAAUCCGCGACUGACGCUGAGGCACGAAAGCGUGGGGAUCAAACAGGAUUAGAUACCCUGGUAGUCCACGCAGUAAACGAUGAUGACUAACUGUCGGCGAUAGACUGUCGGCGGCCAAGCGAAAGCGAUAAGUCAUCCACCUGGGGAGUACGACCGCAAGGUUGAAACUCAAAUGAAUUGACGGGG